rnacentral:rRNA from 1 species
GACGAACGCUGGCGGCGUGCUUAACACAUGCAAGUCGAACGGAAAGGCCCUGCGUUUGUGGGGCGCUCGAGAGGCGAAGGGGGGAGAAAAACGUGAGUAACCUGCCCUUGACAGUGGGAGAACUUCAGGAAAAAGGGGCGAAAACCGGAGAGGAGCUACUGCAGCAUGGGGGGGGAUGGAAAGAGCCGGCGGUGGGGGAUGGACUCGCGGGUUAUCAGCUGGUUGGUGGGGUAGUGGCUUCCCAAGGCUUUGAGGGGUAGGCGGCCUUGGAGGUUGACCGGCCACAUUGGUCCUGAGAUACGGCCCAGACUCCUACCGUAGGCAGCAGUGGGGAAUCUUGCGCAGUGGGCGGAAGCCUGAUGCAGCAACGCCGCGUGCGGGAUGCCGGCCUUCGGGUUGUAAACCGCUUUCGCCUGUAACGAAGCGUUAGUGACGGUAAUGGGUCAAGAAGCCCCGGCUAACUACGUG